rnacentral:rRNA from 1 species
GACGAAGGUGGCAAGCGUUGCUCGGAAUCACUGGGCUUAAAGCGGGCGUAGGCGGUCCGGCAAGUCGGGUGUGAAAACCCUUGGCUCAACCAAGGAACUGCACCCGAUACUACCGGGCUUGAGGCGUCUAGGGGCGACUGGAACUCUCGGUGGAGCGGUGAAAUGCGUAGAUAUCGAGAGGAACGCCAAUGGUGAAGACAGGUCGCUAGGGACGUCCUGACGCUGAGGCCCGAAAGCUAGGGGAG